rnacentral:rRNA from 1 species
UAAUACGGGGGGGGCGAGCGUUGCUCGGAAUCAUUGGGCGUAAAGGGCUAGUAGGCGGUUUGCUAAGUCAGUUGUGAAAUCCCACGGCUCAACCGUGGAACUGCAGCUGAUACUGGCGAACUUGAGUGUUGGAGAGGAUGGCGGAAUUCCAUAUGUAGCGGUGAAAUGCGUAGAUAUAUGGAGGAACACCGGUGGCGAAGGCGGCUAUCUGGACAACAACUGACGCUGAGGAGCGAAAGCGUGGGGAGCAAACAGGAUUAGAUACCCUGGUAGUCCACGCUGUAAACGUUGGGCACUUGGUGUGUCGGGUAUCGAUCCCUGACGUGCCGAAGUUAACGCAUUAAGUGCCCCGCCUGGGAAGUACGGUCGCAAGACUA